CAGUCAAGCUAUUGUCUUUUAAAAAGGGGGAAAACACCCACUCCGGCCGUCACACACAUUCAAACAAAUACAGGAGGCAGAUAGACAAUCGACAGGUUCACUUUAAAAAGGCACCCCGGAUGAGCUAAAUACCUGUCUCUAGUAGCCUUCUGGAAGCCGGAAGUGGACUCGGAGACAGACCGACACAAAACAGGAGAAUAACACAGGCAACGGCUGUAUUAUGGAGGUGAUCAGGCUCCGCUUGUCCCAUUUUCUGGGGGUCCGCUCUGGUCCUUGGUAUCCGGCCCUCCGAACCGGCAAAUCCGGGGGCCCCACGUUGUGGCGCCAAUUGAAAUGGAAAAAUCAAUUAAAGUAUUGAUUAUUUCUUUGUGUAUCUGCCCCUGGCCAAAUCAAUGAAACAAUGCGUGCACGCUCCCUGAAGUAAUUCACACCAGACACAGGUUCUAGGUUGCUGAAUAACUUGAGGAAAGUUUAUUCAGA